rnacentral:lncRNA from 1 species
GGCUAGUCUCAAACUCCCGACCUCAAGUGAUCCUCCUGCCUUGGCCUCCCAAAGUGCUGGGAUUACAGGCAUGAGCCACUGCGCCUGGUUGCCUGCCCCUCUUUUCUGUACUCCACGUGCUGUCCUGGUCCACCUCACUCCUCCAUGGGCUUCUUGAGACACCUGCUGACCUCUAGCCGGACCUGAGCUUCAGACCCUCUCUCCAGCAGGAAGGGCUGCAGACUCGGCCUGUUCCCAGACUCGGCCUUCACCUCCCUUCUCCUCCUGUGUUUAAGUGGAUGGCCCCUCUAUCCAUCCAGGUCCCAUGCCAAGAACCAGUGAUUCUAGUGGCCCACCACCUCCCUCUCCUGCCACCCUUAUACCUGUUCAGCCUCCUAAAGAGGGACAAACUCUGUCUCUGCGUGCACUGGCUUGCCUGCCCUGCCUUUGUCACUCCAAGGGAGAUCUUGAGACCCAUGCCCUGAAUUGGUGCUGGAAUGGUCUUUGGGAGUCAAACUCUGAUCAUGCCCUCCAGUGGCUCCUCUCACACUAAAAUCAAAACUCUUUAAAACAAGCUGAGUGCAGUGGCUUACACCUGUAAUCCCAGCACUUUGGGAGACUGAGGCGGGAGGAUCACCUGAGGUCAGGAGUUUGAGACCAACCUGACCAACAUGGUAAAACCCUGUCUCUACUAAAAAUACAAAAAAUUAGGCCAGGCGCAGUGGUUCAUGCCUGUAAUCCCAGCACUUUGGGAGGCCGAGGGGGGCAGAUCACUUGAGUCCUAGAGUUUGAGACCAGCCUGGGCAACAUAACAAGAUCCUGUCUCUAGAAAUUAAAAAAAAAGAAAACACAAA